CUCCCAAAAUGGGCCUCUGAUAUAAUCAGAACUCUCUCUCAUUUUCACCCUAACCCACAGUGGCUAUGGGCUCAGAUCCUCUCUUACUUCAAGGGAUCUGGGCUGGAUGCUUGGGCGCGAGAGAGAAGAAUGGCUCUCAACUGGGCGGGGAAGAGUAGCCCGCAAGGAGGCAGCGGCUCCAGGAUGGGAAGUGAGGAUGCCAAAAAAGCAUCCCUAGGAAGGUUCCUGCCUUUCCACGAGGCUAUGGGGCUUUGAAGUGCUGCACUGCAGGAACUGACACUAGCUCAGCUUCAGACCCUGAGUGGCAAGGAAUUACUCAGGCUUCCAGAUCCAGCCCAGAUGUCAUCUUCCUGCCUUUCCCAGGACUUGCUGCCUCCUUGGGGCCCCCUCUGCCCUUGGUUCAUAUGGCACCUGCUGCACUGUACAAGUUUAUAUUUCUUUUUUCUUUUCUUUUUUCUUUUUUUUUUUUUUUUUUUUUUUUGAGAAGGAGUCUCACUCUGUCACCCAGGCUGGAGUGCAGUGGCACAAUUUGGCUCACUGCAACCUCUGCCUUCCACAUUCACAGAUGGUGAGCUUCAUGAGGGUGGAGAUAUAUCUCGUUCAUUUUCAUUUCCAUCAUUUCUAUAUAUCAGCUUUCUCCAGGAAGAAAUGGCACUGAUGCUCCUAGACUGGAUUUCUCAUCCACUAAGUCAGGCCUGCCUUGGAAGCAAAGCCCCCAGGAAUGACUGGAAGACAACAUUCUGCAGACCCCUUCCACAGGGUACCCCUGCUCUCCAGGAAGGGCCUUCAGGGCAGCAUUUGGAGGUGGCAUGAGCUAGCAGCGGCGUGCAGCCUGGUCACUGACUGAUCUGGUCAGCCCAGCCGCACAGAACACCACACAGGCUCUGGCAGCUCCCUGGGAAAGAAGAAAGCAGCAUCUUGCAUGUGUGGCUUAUUCUGAAAGGAAUAGUAUCUGAGGGAUUUGAUGGACUCUGACAGGGGGAAGAAGGUAGUGAAAAAGAUGGAACAAA
rnacentral:lncRNA from 1 species